GGCAUGCAAGUUCAAGAGAGAGAACAAGGGUUUUCCUCGCUGUUUAUACAUGGUCGUUCAGUCCGCAUUUUAAAAACUCCUCUCAUUGAAUUCAGAGACCAAAGGUCUUUCUCUCAGAAACUGAAGCUUUUGUACAGAAAGAGCCCAGGCAUAUUUGCAGGAACUAGGCUGGUGUGACAGGUCACCUGGGCAGCUCUGCAGCAUGAGGACACCGGUCUGAUUAGCUGAGGCCACAGCAAUUUAAGGACAAGAUGUUCGUGGAUGGGGGCCCAGCACAAGAGGUGAGCGCCACCUGGUGGACGAACCCGGAGGUCCUCCUGGUACCCAACCUGCCCCCCUUCCCAGCCCCACCUGCCAAACUCACCAACUGACGCUAAUGCGGCGGAUGGAGCGUACACUUGACAACAUUCUUUCACGUUUUUCAAAAGAAAGAUAAUUUAAAAUCUAAUCAUGCAUUUUCCCUGCGGAUCCCCCAGGUGCUGUCUGCCUUCUUGUUCUCCAGGGAGGUUACACAGGAGCCAUCCCCUCACCCUAUUCCUUGUUCCUUCGCUCAGACAUAGCCUCCCCGACGUCCAUCUCACACCUUCCUGCUUCAUUCAAGAAACCCUGAUUUUGUGUAAAUGCCAUGUAGGGCCCAGAGAUGCCACAUGAGCAGGGCCGGCCUCUGGCUCUGAGUCAGGAGAACAGACGUGCAGGUGAUGAGUGUUGGGAUUUGCCGACAAAUAGCAGCAAGCGGCCAGGCUGGCGGAGGCAGAAGGCAGCUCAUGAGUCUCCCGGGCUGGCUGAGAUCGCAGGACCUUCCGGAAGCAGCUUCUGGAGCCCGGCUCUGGGAUGGGUUCGUGACGCGCCUCCCGGCCCCACUGAAGCCCUCCGCCCUCGCCCUUACCCUCCUCCUCUUCCUUCUUCAGGACUAAUGAACAUUUACGUAAAGUAAAAACAUGAAUCAUAAACGUUGCUUGUGGUAUAUGGGGGCCUUCCCUGGUGGCUCAGAUGGUAAAGAAUCCACCUGCAAUGCAGGAGACCCGGACUUGACCCUGGGUCAGGAAAAUCCCCUGGAGGAGGGCAUGUCUACCCACUCCAGUAUUCUUGCCUGGAGAAUCUCAUGGACAGAGGAACCUGGUGGGCUACAGUCCAUGGGGCCGCAAAGAGUUAGACAGACUGAGUGACUAACACAUCCACCCAUCUCCACACACACACGGUAUAUGGAGUAUGCACAGACAGGUGUCCUUCCAUCAGCUCAGUCUCUCGGUCAUGACUGACUCUCUGUGACCCCAUGGACUGCAGCACACCAGGCUUCCCUGUCCGUCACCAACUUCCACAGCUUACUCAAACUCACAUCCAUCAAGUCGGUGAUGCCAUCCAACCAUCUCAUCCUCUGUGAUUUCAUAGUCAUGAGAAUAAAUAAUGUG
rnacentral:lncRNA from 1 species